rnacentral:rRNA from 1 species
CUGACCAGGAAGAAUAUGCAUAUUGAUUCCACUCAAUGUGUCUUAUGUAAUGCAGAAGAUAUUGAAGAUAGAAUGCAUCUACUAUUUUCCUGCCCAUUUAGCCAGGGGUUUUGGUGGAACAUUGGUUUUGAAUGGAACACAGAUCUGAAUUUUCAUGAUAUGAUUAUUGAAGCACAACAAAGAUAUCACCUACACCACUUCAUGGAAAUUAUGAUAGUGGGAUGCUGGAGUAUAUGGAAUCAAAGAAAUGGGCUGAUAUUUGAUGGAAUUCCAUGCUCUAUCAAUGAAUGCAAAUAUGACUUUAUCAGAUCUUUCAAAUUAACAAUCCUGAGAGCCAAACCCAGUCUCAAGGAGGGCAUGACAUCUUGGAUUGAUAACAUAUAA